CGGAGGGUGCAAGCGUUAUCCGGAUUCACUGGGUUUAAAGGGUGCGUAGGCGGGCAGGUAAGUCAGUGGUGAAAUCUCAGAGCUUUAACUCUGAAACUGCCAUUGAUACUAUCUGUCUUGAAUGUUCUGGAGGUGAGCGGAAUAUGUCAUGUAGCGGUGAAAUGCUUAGAUAUGACAUAGAACACCAAUUGCGUAGGCAGCUCACUACGGAAAUAUUGACGCUGAGGCACGAAAGCGUGAGGAUCAAACAGGAUUAGAUACCCUGGUAGUUCACGCCCUAAACGAUGGAUACUCGACAUACGCGAUACACAGUGUGUGUCUGAGCGAAAGCAUUAAGUAUCCCACCUGGGAAGUACGACCGCAAGGUUG
rnacentral:rRNA from 1 species